GGACCAUUAGCUCAGUUGGUUAGAGCAAACGGCUCAUAACCGUUCGAGUCCUGUAUGAUCCA
rnacentral:tRNA from 1 species